GUUGUGCAGCGACGGUUAUUGUAGAUGGGCGACGCCUGAUCCAGCCUGCCGCGUGUGUGAAGAAGGUCUUCGGAUUGUAAAGCACUUUAAGUUGGGAGGAAGGGCAGUAAGCUAAUACCUUGCUGUUUUGACGUUACCGACAGAAUAAGCACCGGCUAACUCUGUGCCAGCAGCCGCGGUAAU
rnacentral:rRNA from 1 species